rnacentral:rRNA from 1 species
CCUACGGGGGGCAGCAGUGGGGAAUAUUGCGCAAUGGGCGAAAGCCUGACGCAGCGACGCCGCGUGAGGGAUGAAGGUCUUCGGAUCGUAAACCUCUGUCAGCAGGGAAGAACGGUCACUGUGCUAAUCAGCAGUGAAUUGACGGUACCUGCAAAGGAAGCACCGGCUAACUCCGUGCCAGCAGCCGCGGUAAUACGGAGGGUGCGAGCGUUAAUCGGAAUUACUGGGCGUAAAGCGCUCGUAGGCGGUAUGUCAAGUCAAGGGUGAAAUCCCCGGGCACAACGUGGGAACUGCCUUUGAAACUGGCAAACUGGAGUGGGUGAGAGGAUAGUGGAAUUCCAGGUGUAGGAGUGAAAUGCGUAGAUAUCUGGAGGAACAUCAGUGGCGAAGGCGACUAUCUGGCACAUAACUGACGCUGAGGAGCGAAAGCGUGGGUAGCAAACAGGAUUAGAUACCCCAGUAGUC